rnacentral:lncRNA from 1 species
ACUAAGCGCCAAAGAGGCAAGUGUGGUGGAAAGAAAGAUAAGUCCAAGUUGAAAUGCUUUAACUAUGGUAAGAAGGGACAUUUUGCUCAAGAAUGCACUGAGGCUAAAAAGGUUCAUCCUCUAAACCGCUUUAAAACUUAUAUAUGUUCUCAUGUGUUUAUAGCUCAUUCUCUCCUUGGUUGGAUUGUAGGUACAUGAGCAACCCAACACAUAACCUGUAACUAUGUAGGAUAUGUAGAUUACCAUCAUUUACCAACGGGUAGACACUUUGUCAUGAUGGGGAAGUGAAAAUAGGAAAAGGUCUUAGGAGUAAGGACUUACCAACUCACAAUGCACAAUAGGUGAAAAUGGCUCUUACAUGAUGUGCUUCAUACUCCAUCCGUACGAUAUAAUCUACUUUCAAUUUUAGCAUUGAUGGGUUUAGGAUUUAAUUUUACCUUCGUGAAUUAUAGUUUGUUUAUUUUUCUUGAAAACAAGUU